GACGUAGGGUGCGAGCGUUGUCCGGAUUUAUUGGGCGUAAAGAGCUCGUAGGCGGCUUGUCGCGUCGUCCGUGAAAACUUGGGGCUCAACCCCAAGCUUGCGGUCGAUACGGGCAGGCUAGAGUUCGGUAGGGGAGACUGGAAUUCCUGGUGUAGCGGUGAAAUGCGCAGAUAUCAGGAGGAACACCGGUGGCGAAGGCGGGUCUCUGGGCCGAUACUGACGCUGAGGAGCGAAAGCGUGGGGAGCGAACAGG
rnacentral:rRNA from 1 species